GACGAACGCUGGCGGCGUGCUUAACACAUGCAAGUCGAACGGAAAGGCCUUUUCGGAGGUACUCGAGUGGCGCACGGGUGAGUAACACGUGGGUGAUCUGCCCUGCACUCUGGGAUAAGCCUGGGAAACUGGGUCUAAUACCGGAUAGGACCGCACUUUAGUGUGUGUGGUGGAAAGUUUUUUCGGUGUAGGAUGAGCCCGCGGCCUAUCAGCUUGUUGGUGGGGUAAUGGCCUACCAAGGCGGCGACGGGUAGCCGGACUGAGAGGUUGGUCGGCCACAUUGGGACUGAGAUACGGCCCAGACUCCUACGGGAGGCAGCAGUGGGGAAUAUUGCACAAUGGGCGCAAGCCUGAUGCAGCGACGCCGCGUGGGGGAUGACGGCCUUCGGGUUGUAAACUCCUUUCGCCAGGGACGAAGCGUUUUGUGACGGUACCUGGAGAAGAAGCACCGGCUAACUACGUG
rnacentral:rRNA from 1 species